GGCGAAUCCGUUCCGUUAUUGCCCUAAGCUCUAGCUAUCUCCUCUCUUCCUUACGGCUACCCAGCUUGGCUCCCAUCGGUGACAACAGAGCUCGACAGUAGAGGUUGAAGCCGACGGCAAAGCGAUCGAGGUGGGCUAUGGACCCGCAUGGCAGCGGACCAAAAAAGCCGGCAUCGGAACGGCCUCCUCCUCGACCUCGUCCAGGGCGUCCCACAUCUGGAGGGAAACCCAUAUCCUCCACUCCGGCAAACACGAAGGGAAAGAAGGAGAGCCGCUAAGCAUUAAAAGGACAUGUUUGUGAGGGCUUCAAUAAGAGUAAAGGGAAGAAAGGCAUUGUCGAGGACUGAGGGCUACAUUUGUAUAGCUCUCUUCAUUGUUAUUUUGGGUUUGUAACGAAUAUGUUAAGCUAUUAUGCUAACUUAAGAGUAUUCCAUUUGUUUUGUCCUCACUUGUAUGAGGAUUUGCGAAAUGUGUGCGUAUCUUAGCCUAGCAUUGAUGUUAUAGUGGUUAAAUGAGUGUGUUAGGUUAAGAUAUUAAUAUAAGUGAUGUUAUAGUAAGAUGGUGUGUAUGAAAAUGACCAAAAGAAUAAUUAUGUUGAAAUUUGAUCUACCCCAUUGUAUUGUUGAGAAUUGGGGGUUUGAUGAUUA